AUUGAACGCUGGCGGCAUGCUUUACACAUGCAAGUCGAACGGUAACAGGCCUUCGGGUGCUGACGAGUGGCGAACGGGUGAGUAAUGCAUCGGAACGUGCCCAGAGGUGGGGGAUAACGCAGCGAAAGCUGUGCUAAUACCGCAUGUGAUCUGAGGAUGAAAGCGGGGGACCAGGCAGCAAUGUUUGGCCUCGCGCCUUUGGAGCGGCCGAUGUCAGAUUAGGUAGUUGGUGGGGUAAAGGCCUACCAAGCCGACGAUCUGUAGCUGGUCUGAGAGGACGACCAGCCACACUGGGACUGAGACACGGCCCAGACUCCUACGGGAGGCAGCAGUGGGGAAUUUUGGACAAGGGGCGCAAGCCUGAUCCAGCAAUGCCGCGUGCGGGAAGAAGGCCUUCGGGUUGUAAACCGCUUUUGUACGGAACGAAAAGGCUCUGGCUAAUACCUGGGGCUGAUGACGGUACCGUAAGAAUAAGCACCGGCUAACUACGU
rnacentral:rRNA from 1 species